AGGGGAGAAUACGGGGUACUUGAUUAGUACAAGGGCCAGUGGUUAUGGGGAGAAGGCAGGCGAAUGGGGUUAGGAGGGAGAGAGAGAUCAACCAUGAUUGAACGGCGGAGUAGACCUGAUGGGCUG